rnacentral:lncRNA from 1 species
GGAAAACAGAAGUUUUUACAAAAAAAAUGUGGUUUUCUUAAGUAGCUAUGCAUUUUGUACAACACAGGUGCCAAUUUUGAUUUUUUUCAAAUGUUCAAAUUCCAAAGCAACUGUUAUGCUAAAUUAUCUUUAUGCUGCAUCCUACUUUGUCCCUCAAAUAGCUCAUAUUCUUCCAAGAUCAUUGAAAUCAAUGAAAUUUAGCCAGGAGUUAUCGGCCUAAUAGUGAAGGCAAAGUCUGUGUUCAUUCAACUUCACAUUGUUGUCUCUACAGUGUUCAGUGACCCUAGUGAUUAUUACAUUGUUUCUUUGCAUAUGGUGGAAUGAGAUGGUUCCAUGGAAAGGUUUCCUUGACACAGAAAACUGUAAAAGUACAUUUUCUUCAUACACUGUCAUAAAUCUCCUGGGCAUUAUUGCUAACACUUUCUUCCUUCAGGUCAGCAAUCUAUAAUCUAUCUUUCUCGUAGCAACUGCCGUAUUUAAAUCCAGAAAGAAAAAGGUGGUCCUGACUAUGCUUAUUUGAAGAAUGAAAAUGCAAAGUCUGGAAACAUCUAAGUGUACAUUGUAAAAAUAGAGAUAAUGUUGGAUAUGUUGAUAUAAAAUUUCAAUUAAAUGCUAGUCACUCAAGUUUUUAUUUUGAUUUGUUAUGUGCAUUAUAAUUUAGUAGAACAUACACAUCUUUUAAGCCCUUUUAAUUUUCCUGUUUCAGUUGGUGGCAAGUUUAGCCACAAAUGAUCAGUGCUAAAGGUAGACUAGUC